GGCAUGCCUUACACAUGCAAGUCGAACGGCAGCGGGGGUAGCUUGCUACCUGCCGGCGAGUGGCGAACGGGUGAGUAAUACAUCGGAACGUGCCCUGUAGUGGGGGAUAACUAGUCGAAAGACUAGCUAAUACCGCAUACGACCUGAGGGUGAAAGUGGGGGACCGCAAGGCCUCAUGCUAUAGGAGCGGCCGAUGUCUGAUUAGCUAGUUGGUGGGGUAAAGGCCCACCAAGGCGACGAUCAGUAGCUGGUCUGAGAGGACGAUCAGCCACACUGGGACUGAGACACGGCCCAGACUCCUACGGGAGGCAGCAGUGGGGAAUUUUGGACAAUGGGGGCAACCCUGAUCCAGCAAUGCCGCGUGUGUGAAGAAGGCCUUCGGGUUGUAAAGCACUUUUGUCCGGAAAGAAAUCGCACUGGUUAAUACCUGGUGUGGAUGACGGUACCGGAAGAAUAAGGACCGGCUAACUACGUGCCAGCAGCCGCGGUAAUACGUAGGGUCCAAGCGUUAAUCGGAAUUACUGGGCGUAAAGCGUGCGCAGGCGGUUGUGCAAGACCGAUGUGAAAUCCCCGGGCUUAACCUGGGAAUUGCAUUGGUGACUGCACGGCUAGAGUGUGUCAGAGGGAGGUAGAAUUCCACGUGUAGCAGUGAAAUGCGUAGAGAUGUGGAGGAAUACCGAUGGCGAAGGCAGCCUCCUGGGAUAACACUGACGCUCAUGCACGAAAGCGUGGGGAGCAAACAGG
rnacentral:rRNA from 1 species